GACGAACGCUGGCGGCGUGCUUAACACAUGCAAGUCGAACGGAAAGGCCCUGCUUUUGUGGGGUGCUCGAGUGGCGAACGGGUGAGUAACACGUGAGUAACCUGCCCUUGACUUUGGGAUAACUUCAGGAAACUGGGGCUAAUACCGGAUAGGAGCUCCUGCUGCAUGGUGGGGGUUGGAAAGUUUCGGCGGUUGGGGAUGGACUCGCGGCUUAUCAGCUUGUUGGUGGGGUAGUGGCUUACCAAGGCUUUGACGGGUAGCCGGCCUGAGAGGGUGACCGGCCACAUUGGGACUGAGAUACGGCCCAGACUCCUACGGGCGGCAGCGGUGGGGAAUAUUGCACAAUAGGCGCAAGCCUGAUGCAGCAACGCCGCGUGCGGGAUGACGGCCUUCGAGUUGUAAACCGCUUUCGCCUGUGACGAAGCGUGAGUGACGGUAAUGGGUAAGGAAGCACCGGCUAACUACGUG
rnacentral:rRNA from 1 species